GAUCCAAUUGACUCAAAUAGAAAUAUAGCAUUUUUGGAGGUUAAAGUGGUCAUUUCAUAGAAGAAAAUGAUACGAAAACUCGCUGUCGUUUUGAAUACUAUAUUAAGUAAUACUAUAUCCACUGACACUCCUAAAACUUUUUCCACUAAAAAUUACUAGCUGUUUCCUCGCAGAAGUGGCAAGUAACUUAAUAGUUAUAAGUUCGAAGUCUAAUUACUUCAUAUUUCCAACUAAAUUUAUUUCUAAAAUAAAUGAAAAAAAUAUAAAGCAUGCGACCAUUAUCUCUCUUUAAAAAAAUUAUGGAUAAAUUGACCAUAGUUAUCAUACUAAAUUUUA
rnacentral:lncRNA from 1 species